UCACUGUCUCAGGACAGUGUGAGCCGUGUUACCUGGGCUGGGAGGAGCACAGGCUGUUGCAGGCAGCACAAGUGGAACCGACCGAGACAGACUCUUCUGGAUUUAUAGAAAACAGCAGAAGAGAGAACAACACUAAGUCUGACCGCUAACCCCAGGAAGAGUGUUGUAUAUAAUUUGAAGUUUGGAGAAAAGUAUGGUACUUCUACCUGGCGUCCAAGAACCUGGUCACUGUUGGAAAUGACUCCAGAAUCCUGAAAGGGAGUCAAGAAAUGCUCCUGGGGUGAGAUGUUCCCAGCAAUUAAGAAUGAAAGUUACAUAACUGGAAGAUGCAGGCUAUCGGCUGCCUUUGUCAGGAACACGUAAUUAGGAACUAACAGAAGAUGGGAUGGGGAGACAGCUCAGCGGUUAGGAGCACAUACUGCUCCUAUAGAGAAACCGUCUUCAGUUCCCAGCACCCAUGUAGGAAGGCUCACAACCUCCUGUAACUCCAGCUCCAGAAUAUCUAACACCUCUGUCCUCCAAGGACAAAGACACACCUACAUACAUAUGCAUAAUUCAAAACAAUAAAAAUAAGUCUAAAAAAAGAAUUAGCAAAGAAGAGUCUGGAGUUGGUGUCGACAGAGAAUAGGAAGCUGAUAAAGUCCAGUUCCAACUACAAUGAAGGGCAAUGGGGAGCAAGUGCACGGUUGUCACAACUCACAGAGGUCAACUGAGUGAGCUGGAGUGAACGUUUUUAAGACGCCGUCCGACUCUAACACAAGCAGAUCUCAUCAAGCCGAAGAAGAACUGGAUUCUGAAUCGCAAGCUCCUGGGCUUGCCAUUAGUGCUAACUACACGUCCAGUAUCGGACAAGGCCGUUUUUCAGUCCCUUGCUGGUAGCCCCUUGGAUUCCUAUGCCACGAAGAAAAGAUUAUGAUCUAAGCAGGAUGUGUGUUCACAAAAAAUCCCUGCUAUGACUAAAAUGGCGAGCUUUUCAUGCAGCGGGAUGAAUCGAGAGCGUGGACCUGGAGGAGGCCAAAAAAAUAUGGCUAGAGAAGCAAGCCCUUCCCUGAGAAAGUGCCUGGUUUGUGGACUCGAUGCAGAGAGAGAGAUUUGAAGAUUUGCACGGCCGAGGAAGAGACUAUGCCAACGGAACACAUGGCUAUCGUUGUGCUUAUUUAUGUACCUGAUAAAUUGCAAGGCAUCCUGGGAGACCCUAUCCCAAUACUCACUCCCAUGUCUUUAGUGCCCCACUUAGGUCCAGGACAGAUGACUGGGAGGAAAGAUCAUCUGCUGCCUUCAGCGAGAGAUGCUAAUUUUGUUACAGUUUGGUGACCACUUGGCUGGAAGAAUGGUAAGAUCUUCCUGUGCCAACUACCUGUUCCGCACAGCCCUCCAGGAUCUGGAGAGCUCCCCACUGCAUCCUUCUAGCCAGUCCUGUCAGCACUGGCUUCAGCACCAUGGUGGAGACAGGAGACUGACACCAGAUGCAUGCUCACCUGACUUCCCCCGUGGAAGCGUGCCGCUUCCCUUACAUAUAAGAUGAGGUUAAUUUCUGACUCAUCUUGUAGGGUAGCAAUGUGAUCAAAUAAAUGUGUGUUUCUGCGAAGUCCUGACAAGCCUCAGACUCUGAGGUGACACAGAGUGCUGUCAUCACUGCCCUCUGUUGACUGCAUGGCUGUCAUCUGAGACCUCUUUGCCGCACAGGACAUCUCUGCCACCUGGCAAACGCAUCUUGUUCCUGUCGGUUUUAAUAGCUACUAUCUCAUUCCCAUUCUUACGUUUGUGUUUAAACCUUUUGGGAAAGUUUGGGGAAAUGACUCAGUGGACAAGGUGCCUGCCACCUUUCUUAGCGCCUCUACAGCUGCGAUGAAACACCGUGACCAAAAACACAAACUAGGGGGGAAAGCAUUUAUUAGGCUUAUACUUCCGUAUCACUGUUUUUCAGUGAGUCUGAAGUUGGGGCAGAAACUCAAACAGGACAGGAACCUGGACUCAGGGCCUGAUGUAGAGGUCAUGGAGGGGUACUGCUUACUGGCUUGCUCGGCCUGCUUUCUUAUAGAACCCAGGACCACCAGCACAGUACCACCCACAAUGGGUUGAGAAAAUGCCCUACAGACUUGCCUACAGCCCCAUCUUACGGAGGCAUUUUCUCAACUGAGGUCCCCUCCUCUCAGAUGACGUUAGCUUGUGUUACGCUGACAUAAAACUACCCAGAGCACCACUAGUGUGAUGAGCAGAAUUUAGCUCUCCAGGACCCAUGGAGAUGCUAGGUGGUGUGGCAGCCUGCCUAUAAUUCCAGCACUUGGAAAGCAGGUCCAUGAAACAAGCUGGCUGGCUAGACUAGCCACAUUGGCAAACCCUGGAUUCAAUGGAGAGAUCCUGUCUCAAUGACCAGGGGGCAGAAGACAAUCAGUUAAAGUUCAAAGAUCAACCUCAGGCAUCCACAUGCACAUGAACGUACAUGCAGAUACCCAUGCACACCACACACACAUACAUGUGAAGAAAUAUAUUUUGUUUUUGCUUUGGUUUUUUUCAAGACUUGGUGUUUUGAGACAAGGUUUCUCUGUGUAGCCUUGGCUGUCCUGGAACUGACUCUUAGACCAGGCUGGCCUUGAACUCAUAGAGAUCCACUUGCCUCUGCCUCCCAAGUGCUGGGAUUAAAGGCGUGCACCUCCACUGAAAGUCAUUUUUUAAGCUGUGCAUUGGGGUACAUGUCCGUAAUCCCAUCAAUAGGGAGGCUGAGACAGGAGGAUGGAUGGGGCCAGCUAAAGUUAAGUAACAACAGCCUGUCUUCGAAGAAGAGGAGGGUGAAGAGUAAGAAUAGAGA